UACGUAGGGCGCAAGCGUUUAUCCGGAAUUAUUGGGCGUAAAGAGCUCGUAGGCGGUUUGUCGCGUCUGCUGUGAAAACCCGAGGCUCAACCUCGGGCCUGCAGUGGGUACGGGCAGACUAGAGUGCGGUAGGGGAGAUUGGAAUUCCUGGUGUAGCGGUGGAAUGCGCAGAUAUCAGGAGGAACACCGAUGGCGAAGGCAGAUCUCUGGGCCGUAACUGACGCUGAGGAGCGAAAGCGUGGGGAGCGAACAGG
rnacentral:rRNA from 1 species